rnacentral:lncRNA from 1 species
GAUUACUUGUGGAUAUCCCCUGUCUAGCUGGAUCGUGUGGUAGGCCGCGUAGGUGAGAGUUACGUUGGUCUCUUGUAGUCCACCUCUUGUUAGCAGGAUGGGUAGGGUUUAUCGGCCUGUGGAUAAGCAUCCUUUGUGGUGUAUUCUUAUCACGUGGUUCGUCCCAGACAUAGACAUACCCCUUUGAAGUAGAGAAACCAUAGUUAUCCUCUAUAUUCUGCUACCAUCGCCCAUAUACUAGAUUUCUCUACUCUUUAUUCCCAUUGUUAUCUUACCUUUAAUAUUGUUCUUAUUCAAUUCUACCAUCUUUCCUAUUUACACUUAUCUAUCUAUCUUGGUUAAGUUAGAGCAUAGUUGGUUCUCCCGUUUCUCUGUGGAUACGAUAAAACCUUUAACCGGGUAAAAUCUACAACGGUAUCCGUGCGCUUGCGGAUUUAUCUGUGUGCGUAUAAAUACCAUAGUACACUCUAGUGCCAUGCUGGGGAUGACAACCUAGUAUUCAAGUGGUGUUAGCAAGUGUCAACAAGCAUUUUUGGCGCCGUUCCGGGGAAAUGGUUGCUGAGUUGACUAGGAACUAGCUUAAUCAUUUUCUAAAAAAUAAAUAAAAUAAAUAAAUAAAUAAAAAUAUUUUCCUUUUAUCCUUUGCCUCAUCUCUGCUAUUCUUUCUUCUUAUCUAAUCCUUGAUUUCUUGUCUAUCAUGAAUGCAAACAUGUCUAUCUAUCAGUUUCAUAGACCUACAGGCACACAUCUCGAACCACCAAAAUCUUCAAAGCCUAUCAUAGCAUCUAGUUUUGAGAUAGACCCCGAAUACAUAGAAUUUGUUCAAAAACAACCUUUCUCAGGAGAAGGUGAAGAAAACCCAUACAGACACCUAAGAGAGUUUUAUCGAGUCUGUGACCUCCUUCGCAUAGAAGGCAUGUCCGAUGAGACCCUUAAAUGGAAGAUCCUUCCAUUCUCUUUAACGGGAAAAGCUAGACAUUGGUACAAACUCAAAGUAGGGAGUGUUC